UUUCCGUAGGUGAACCUGCGGAAGGAUCAUUAUUGUAUAAUCGAGGUGCGAGGGCUGUCGCUGACCCGAAAGGUCGUGCACGCCCGAGUGCCCUCACACACAUCCAUCUCACCCCUAUGUGCACCACCGCGUGGGUCCCCCUUUGGCUUGUUCGGAGGGGGGCUUACGUUUUCACACAAACUUUGUAUGCAGUGUAGAGUGUAUUUUUUGUUUUUGCGAUCACGCAAUCAAUACAACUCUCAACAACGGAUCUCUUGGCUCUC
rnacentral:misc_RNA from 1 species